rnacentral:rRNA from 1 species
CUUAAAGGAAUUGACGGGGACCCGCACAAGCGGUGGAUGAUGUGGUUUAAUUCGAUGCAACGCGAAAAACCUUACCCACCUUUGACAUGUACGGAACCCUUUGGAGACAGAGGGGUGCUCGAAAGAGAGCCGUAACACAGGUGCUGCAUGGCUGUCGUCAGCUCGUGUCGUGAGAUGUUGGGUUAAGUCCCGCAACGAGCGCAACCCUUGUCAUUAGUUGCUACGAAAGGGCACUCUAAUGAGACUGCCGGUGACAAGCCGGAGGAAGGUGGGGAUGACGUCAAGUCCUCAUGGCCCUUAUAGGUGGGGCUACACACGUCAUACAAUGGCUGGUACAGAGGGUUGCCAACCCGCGAGGGGGAGCCAAUCCCAUAAAACCAGUCGUAGUCCGGAUCGCAGUCUGCAACUCGACUGCGUGAAGUCGGAAUCGCUAGUAAUCGCGGAUCAGCAUGUCGCGGUGAAUACGUUCCCGGGUCUUGUACACACCGCCCGUCACACCAAAAA